GGAACAGAGUUCCAGGAGAGAUUUUACGCUGAGGUGAAACCAUCAAAAUCAGUUCCACUGAUAAUCCAGAGACUGCGUGUGUCUGACUCUGCUCUGUACUACUGUGCUUUGAGGCCCACAGUGUUAACAGGAUGCCUCUCUCUCAAACAAAAUCAAAAGAAACCUAUACAGGGGAGAGAAAGAAGUACUUAGACCUGAUGUCAUUAGUCACGCCCACAUUUGAAUAAAACAAAACAGAACAUCUCCAGAACAGCUCUCAUCAAAAGCAUAAACAUGGAGAAACAUCUACUUCUGAUUGUCAUAACAGUAUCAGGUGUAUUUCCUGACAGCAUUGGACCAAAAGACAAGGACGCUACAAUAAGUACAGAAGGAGAGUCUGUGACAAUGAGCUGCACAUACAGUACAAUCAGCAAUGAAGUUUUGCUUUACUGGUACAGACAGCAUCCCAAAUCAGAACCCCAGUAUUUACUGUGGAAAGGUGCUCGAUCAUGGAACAGUGAAGAGGAUAUACCAGACGGUCGCUUUCAGUCGACUACAUCCCAAUCAUCCACUGAACUCACUAUUAGGAGUGUAACUCUCUCAGAUUCAUCUCACUAUUUCUGUGCUCUAAGAGCAGCAGCCCAGUGAUACAAAAUGCCUGAGAGGCUUUACAAAAACUCACACACAAAGUUGAACAAUAGUAAUCAAAUGACUCCUAGCCACAUUUAUCUCUCAUUUAACUCACAGAGAAUGUAUACACCACAAUAUGGUAACACCUGUUUAUUUAUUGGGAGUGAGAGAGGAUCAAAGUAAAUGAUAUGAGAAAUAAAGGACAUCUAAAUAGAGAUAUUACAAACC